rnacentral:rRNA from 1 species
UACGGAGGGUGCGAGCGUUGUCCGGAAUCACUGGGCGUAAAGGGCGCGUAGGCGGCCUGAUAAGUAGGGGGUGAAAUCCUGCGGCUUAACCGCAGGGCUGCCUUCUAAACUGUCAGGCUGGAGCACAGUAGAGGCAGGUGGAAUUCCCGGUGUAGCGGUGAAAUGCGCAGAUAUCAGGAGGAACACCGGUGGCGAAGGCGGAUCUCUGGGCCAUUACUGACGCUGAGGAGCGAAAGCGUGGGGAGCAAACAGG